rfam:Anaerococcus lactolyticus ATCC 51172 genomic scaffold SCAFFOLD12, whole genome shotgun sequence.
AAAAACAACAAAGCGCCAGAUCCCUUUGGGAUGACGAGGGAGGAAGUUAUCGAAAAUUCGGCGGGAGCUUCCUGGGUUCACAGCCUUAGUGUUAGACAAAAGCAGAGAGCAAUUUCUGCGACAGAGAAGACACAGUGGCCUCAU